AGCGAACGCUGGCGGCAGGCUUAACACAUGCAAGUCGAGCGGGCGUAGCAAUACGUCAGCGGCAGACGGGUGAGUAACGCGUGGGAACAUACCUUUUGGUUCGGAACAACACAGGGAAACUUGUGCUAAUACCGGAUAAGCCCUUACGGGAAAGAUUUAUCGCCGAAAGAUUGGCCCGCGUCUGAUUAGCUAGUUGGUGAGGUAACGGCUCACCAAGGCGACGAUCAGUAGCUGGUCUGAGAGGAUGAUCAGCCACAUUGGGACUGAGACACGGCCCAAACUCCUACGGGAGGCAGCAGUGGGGAAUAUUGGACAAUGGGCGAAAGCCUGAUCCAGCCAUGCCGCGUGAGUGAUGAA
rnacentral:rRNA from 1 species